rnacentral:rRNA from 1 species
AACGAACGCUGGCGGCAUGCCUAACACAUGCAAGUCGAACGAGACCUUCGGGUCUAGUGGCGCACGGGUGCGUAACGCGUGGGAACCUGCCCUUAGGUUCGGAAUAACUCCCCGAAAGGGGUGCUAAUACCGGAUAAUGUCUUCGGACCAAAGAUUUAUCGCCUUUGGAUGGGCCCGCGUUGGAUUAGCUAGUUGGUAGGGUAAAAGCCUACCAAGGCGACGAUCCAUAGCUGGUCUGAGAGGAUGAUCAGCCACACUGGGACUGAGACACGGCCCAGACUGCUACGGGAGGCAGCAGUGGGGAAUAUUGGACAAUGGGCGAAAGCCUGAUCAAGCAAUGCCGCGUGAGUGAUGAAGGCCUUAGGGUUGUAAAGCUCUUUUACACGGGAUGAUAAUGACAGUACCGGGAGAAUAAGCUCCGGCUAACUCCGUG